AUGAACGCUGGCGGCGUGCCUAAUACCUGCAAGUCGAGCGAACAGACGAGGAGCUUGCUCCUCUGACGUUAGCGGCGGACGGGUGAGUAACACGUGGAUAACCUACCUAUAAGACUGGGAUAACUUCGGGAAACCGGAGCUAAUACCGGAUAAUAUAUUGAACCGCAUGGUUCAAUAGUGAAAGACGGUUUUGCUGUCACUUAUAGAUGGAUCCGCGCCGCAUUAGCUAGUUGGUAAGGUAACGGCUUACCAAGGCAACGAUGCGUAGCCGACCUGAGAGGGUGAUCGGCCACACUGGAACUGAGACACGGUCCAGACUCCUACGGGAGGCAGCAGUAGGGAAUCUUCCGCAAUGGGCGAAAGCUUGACGGAGCAACGCCGCGUGAGUGAUGAAGGUCUUCGGAUCGUAAAACUCUGUUAUUAGGGAAGAACAAAUGUGUAAGUAACUAUGCACGUCUUGACGGUACCUAAUCAGAAAGCCACGGCUAACUACGUG
rnacentral:rRNA from 1 species